CAGCCGCCGCGGUAAUACGUAGGGUGCGAGCGUUAAUCGGAAUUACUGGGCGUAAAGCGUGCGCAGCCGGUUAUGUAAGACAGUUGUGAAAUCCCCGGGCUCAACCUGGGAAUUGCAUCUGUGACUGCAUAGCUAGAGUACGGUAGAGGGGGAUGGAAUUCCGCGUGUAGCAGUGAAAUGCGUAGAUAUGCGGAGGAACACCGAUGGCGAAGGCAAUCCCCUGGACCUGUACUGACGCUCAUGCACGAAAGCGUGGGGAGCAAACAGGAUUAGAUACCCGCGUAGUCCCUGUCUCUUAUAA
rnacentral:rRNA from 1 species